GUGGGUAUAGCUCAGGUGGCAGAGCACAUGCUUGCCAUGCAGGAGGUUCUGGGUUCAAUCCCCAGUAGCUCCU
rnacentral:tRNA from 1 species